GGAGUUGAACUGUGAGUUCCGAGGGUUCAGCUGGUGAUUUUGAUUGGGCUUGGCCAAAUUGGUUGGGCUUCAGGGUCUGUUUAGCUGCAGGUCUUUACCUUCUGGUGAGGAUGCGCGAUGCACUCGUUGAGUGUUGUGCGCCCUGGAUGUUCCGAACGUGGUCGCCAGUGCACUCCCUCGGGACGGUCACCACGACCGGCACUGCCGUCUGUCUGUUGCGGUUAAACCGGUUGUGCAUUGUCCUUGUGGCUUUGCGUGAUCGGGACGGCAGGUAACUCGUUGGUUUGCUUGCAAGCUUUCGGGUGAAAUCAGCUGACUGCAAUUUGACUGUGCGGUGUGUCGGGGACGGCGGCUUGAGGUGUGUGCGUGCGUACCAGUUUGCUGGCGCGUCCGUGUUAGGUUGCUCAGUUGCUCACGUAGUGGGCCAAGCGGCGACUGGGACGCGUGUGGUGAGCGGUUGCGUGCGUGGCACUAUUCUUGGGCCUAUAGUCUGUGGUGUUGCGGUAGACUAUCCAUCCGACCCGUCUUGAAACACGGACCA
rnacentral:rRNA from 1 species